UACAGAGGGUGCAAGCGUUAAUCGGAAUUACUGGGCGUAAAGCGUGCGUAGUCGGUUAUUUAAGUCGGAUGUGAAAUCCCCGGGCUCAACCUGGGAAUUGCAUUCGAUACUGGGUAGCUAGAGUUCGGCAGAGGGAAGCGGAAUUUCGGGUGUAGCGGUGAAAUGCGUAGAUAUCCGAAGGAACAUCAGUGGCGAAGGCGGCUUCCUGGUCUGCGACUGACGCUGUGGCGCGAAAGCUAGGGGAGCAAACGGG
rnacentral:rRNA from 1 species